ensembl:snRNA U6 U6 spliceosomal RNA
AUACUUGUUUUACAGUACAUAUGCUAAGACUGGAAUGACACAGGAAAGAUUUGUGUGGCUCCUGCCCAAGGACAACAUGAAUGUUCUUGAAACACUACAUAUUUAA